rnacentral:rRNA from 1 species
AGUGAACGCUGGCGGUAGGCCUAACACAUGCCAGUCGAACGGCAGCACAGUAAGAGCUUGCUCUUACGGGUGGCGAGUGGCGGACGGGUGAGGAAUACAUCGGAAUCUACUUUUUCGUGGGGGAUAACGUAGGGAAACUUACGCUAAUACCGCAUACGACCUACGGGUGAAAGCAGGGGAUCUUCGGACCUUGCGCGAUUGAAUGAGCCGAUGUCGGAUUAGCUAGUUGGCGGGGUAAAGGCCCACCAAGGCGACGAUCCGUAGCUGGUCUGAGGGAUGAUCAGCCACACUGGAACUGAGACACGGUCCAGACUCCUACGGGAGGCAGCAGUGGGGAAUAUUGGACAAUGGGCGCAAGCCUGAUCCAGCCAUACCGCGUGGGUGAAGAAGGCCUUCGGGUUGUAAAGCCCUUUUGUUGGGAAAGAAAAGCAGCAGGUUAAUACCCCGCUGUUCUGACGGUACCCAAAGAAUAAGCACCGGCUAACUUCGUG